GAAGUGGCGGCGUGCUAAUACAUGCAGUCGAGCGGAUUGAUGGGAGCUUGCUCCCUGAUAUUAGCGGCGGACGGGUGAGUAACACGUGGGUAACCUGCCUGUAAGAUUGGGAUAACUCCGGGAAACCGGAGCUAAUACCGGAUAAUAUGUUGAACCGCAUGGUUCAACAUUGAAAGAUGGCUUUUGCUAUCACUUACAGAUGGACCCGCGGCGCAUUAGCUAGUUGGUGAGGUAACGGCUCACCAAGGCAACGAUGCGUAGCCGACCUGAGAGGGUGAUCGGCCACACUGGGACUGAGACACGGCCCAGACUCCUACGGGAGGCAGCAGUAGGGAAUCUUCCGCAAUGGACGAAAGUCUGACGGAGCAACGCCGCGUGAACGAUGAAGGCCUUCGGGUCGUAAAGUUCUGUUGUUAGGGAAGAACAAGUACCAGAGUAACUGCUGGUACCUUGACGGUACCUAACCAGAAAGCCACGGCUAACUACGUGCCAGCAGCCGCGGUAAUACGUAGGUGGCAAGCGUUGUCCGGAAUUAUUGGGCGUAAAGCGCGCGCAGGUGGUUUCUUAAGUCUGAUGUGAAAGCCCACGGCUCAACCGUGGAGGGUCAUUGGAAAACUGGGGAACUUGAGUGCAGAAGAGGAAAGUGGAAUUCCCAGUGUAGCGGUGAAAUGCGUAGAGAUUUGGAGGAACACCAGUGGCGAAGCGACUUUCUGGUCUGUAACUGACACUGAGCGCGAAAGCGUGGGGGGAGCGAACAGGAUUAGAUACCCUGGUAGUCCACGCCGUAAACGAUGAUGCUAGUGUUAAGAGGGUUUCCGCCCAUUAUGCUGCAGCAACGCAUAGCACUCCGCCUGGGGGGAGUACGGUCGCAGACUGAACUCAAGAUGACGGGGCCCGCCACAGCGGUGGACCAUGGUGGAUUUAUUCGAGGCACGCGGAGACUUACAGGUCUGACUUCCACUGCCCGUAUGAAGAUUACCUUCGUCGGAACUGGUGAACGUGGUCAUGGAUGCUCACUCCUGUCUGGAGUCGGAUUAGUCCGCACGA
rnacentral:rRNA from 1 species